UACAGAGGUCCCAAGCGUUGUUCGGAUUCAUUGGGCGUAAAGGGUGCGUAGGUGGCGCCGUAAGUCGGGUGUGAAAUUUCGGAGCUUAACUCCGAAACUGCAUUCGAUACUGCGGUGCUUGAGGACUGGAGAGGAGACUGGAAUUCAUGGUGUAGCAGUGAAAUGCGUAGAGAUCAUGAGGAAGACCAGUGGCGAAGGCGGGUCUCUGGACAGUUCCUGACACUGAGGCACGAAGGCCAGGGGAGCAAACGG
rnacentral:rRNA from 1 species